UGUGACUGCCAUUCCAGCUACUGAGGCAAAAGAAUCCCUUGAGCCCAGGAGGUCAAGUCCUCAAUGAGCUAUAAUCAUGCCACUGCACUCCACGAAAGUUCAGCUUUGCUGAAAUUAAGACUCAUAAAAAGUAGAAAGAUAUAAAUGGAAAAGAUAAUUUAAAGCAAAUCAUUAGCUUUCUUAAAGGCAAGCUAAAAAGUAUGCAAUUUAUUAUCUCCUGUUCUCUGCCUUCUCUACUAUCACCCAUUCUGUUGCUUGGGUUAUCUAAGGCACCACCCUUGAUUUGUUAUUUUUAAAAUUCUCUUUAUUUAGAGCAAAUUCAGCCCUAUCUCAGAUCGGGAAAUUAUAUAGUAUCGAAAGAGAGAGUCUUCAUAUUAGCAACCCAAAUAGUUGGGGGUAACUUACAGACAGAAGCAUGGUCUUCAGUGGCAGCAAGACAGGUAGAUCUCUGCCCUUUUACUCCCCAGACCAGUACUUACAUGCCAUAAGGAAAGGGUGUACGUACUCUAUAGAGACAUUUAAAGGCAACCCUCCAGACAGGCAAGAAUGCUGUAUGCAUCAUAGCCUGUAAUUUGUGUGAUAACAUCAGGGUUGCUUUGUUGUUAAACUAAGUACAGUAAAUAAAGUAAUAAUCACAGGGCUGGGGUUAAUCAGAAGGCAACAUGACAAAUUAGCAUUCAAGAGGGAGUAAACGUAUGUCUCCACAGAAGUGUGUCCUCUCACUAAAUUGAGCCAUUGCAAAAUGUGUUUCUCUACCUUUCAUUUGAUAGAUUCCUACUUAAGCAUCAAAAUGCAGUGCAUACAGCAUCGCCUUUGGAAAUCAAUCUUUGACCUCCCUUCUGUAAAGCAAGAGUCCCUCUGAGAUUUUCUGGCAUCAGCCUGUGAUUGCUUCUUUUAUAGCACUCAUAGCUUUAUUUUUGCAAGUAUGUGAUUAUCUGUUCUUUAGUGGAUUAUAUAGCUUUGAAUCCCCCGCUUCAAGAACAGCCGCUAAUAUAUACAGCCAAUCCUUAUUCACGGUGGUUCUGUAAAAAAGCCACAAAUGCUGAAUUAGUGAAUAUGGAACCAUUGCUCCUCGGAGAAAUGCAGGAUUAGGUUCCUUCAAGCCUCUUAUUAAAUGUUUGUCAACCAGCCCAUAAAUACCUUGUUUUAUGUGUGUUUCUUUUUAAAGGCACCUUAUGUAGGAAAAAAAAUUUUUUUUAAGGCACCUUAUUUAAUAUAGUUGAUUCAUUAACAUUGAACUCAUAGCCAGUGGCACUAUAACUCAUGCUUACCUGGCGUAUGUAUUUUCUCUUUAAAAAGAAAGAAGAGCCUUCUGGCACUUAGGGACCCAGAUAGCCUCAUCACUACACUUGGGGGGCAUUUUAAACAGUGAAAUCACAAAAAGGUCAAAAAUGCAACAAAUGUGGCCCUAAAUAGACCAUGAAAAGGACACUUGUUUCCAGUGUGAGAGCUAAAACAGGAAGGCAGAGCAUCCCCUUGUUUCACCAAAGCUGGGAACAUGUGCAUCAGGUGACUCAAAUUUUUUUGCCUCUGUUCAUGUCGACAAAUGACUGCAAAAGCAUUCCAAGUAUUGAUUUGGGCAUUGCAAAUAAAUUUUAGCAAGUAGGCAAACUCACAAAUACAGAAUCUGUAAGUAAUAAGGAUUAGCUAUAUUUUUUGAAUGACCAAAGGAAGCCGUACCACUUCCAUGAAACGUUUCCUGGCCACUGUGGCUGAUAGCAAUAUCUUCCUCCUCUAAAUUUAUGGUACAGUGCUUAUUAUCACUUCACAGUUAGUCAUUUUUGCUUCCUAGAAUGCUUCUCUUCCUUAACCAUUAACAUUUAUCCUUCAUUUAUCCCUGCUUCAUCUUCUUUGGCCCUGCCUUCAAAGGCGACAAUUAGCUGAUGUA
rnacentral:lncRNA from 1 species